rnacentral:misc_RNA from 1 species
UGAAUGUGAGUCCAACUUUCUCUGAAGGCGGCUUCAGUGGUGGUCCCGGUGUUAAUAGUGGGUUCAGAGUGGGACCGACGAUGGAGAUUGAGUCAAGGAUUCAAAUGGUGGGUAGGGUUCGGGUACUUCAUAUUUUCACGCAUCACGUGGAGGCCAAGGCUGGUUGCAGAGUCGCCAUUGCUGUGAGUGACGGAUCUGUGUUAGGCUUCCAUUGCUAGCAGGUCUUGGGUUGUUCCACUUUUAAAUCUUAAUUAUAACUGUAGUUUCUUAUGGGUUUUNNNNNGCAUAUCAAAUUUGUUUAAGAAAUUGUAAAAAUUGAUUUUGGUAGUAAAUUUUUCUGUGGGCU